rnacentral:rRNA from 1 species
UGGGGAAUUUUGGACAAUGGGGGCAACCCUGAUCCAGCAAUGCCGCGUGUGUGAAGAAGGCCUUCGGGUUGUAAAGCACUUUUGUCCGGAAAGAAAACGCCGUGGUUAAUACCCGUGGCGGAUGACGGUACCGGAAGAAUAAGCACCGGCUAACUACGUGCCAGCAGCCGCGGUAAUACGUAGGGUGCAAGCGUUAAUCGGAAUUACUGGGCGUAAAGCGUGCGCAGGCGGUCCGCUAAGACAGAUGUGAAAUCCCCGGGCUUAACCUGGGAACUGCAUUUGUGACUGGCGGGCUAGAGUAUGGCAGAGGGGGGUAGAAUUCCACGUGUAGCAGUGAAAUGCGUAGAGAUGUGGAGGAAUACCGAUGGCGAAGGCAGCCCCCUGGGCCAAUACUGAGCUCAUGCACGAAAGCGUGGGGGAGCAAAACAGGAUUAGAUACCCUGGUAGUCCACGCCCUAAACGAUGUCAACUAGUUGUCGGGUCUUCAUUGACUUGGUAACGUAGCUAACGCGUGAAGUUGACGCCUGGGAGUACGGUCGCAAGAUUAAAAACUUAAAUGAAUU